GAGUGGCGAACGGGUGAGUAAUGUAUCGGAACGUGCCCAGUCGUGGGGGAUAACGUAGUGAAAAUUACGCUAAUACCGCAUACGAUCUAUGGAUGAAAGCGGGGGAUCGCAAGACCUCGCGCGAUUGGAGCGGCCGAUAUCAGAUUAGGUAGUUGGUGGGGUAAAGGCUCACCAAGCCAACGAUCUGUAGCUGGUCUGAGAGGACGACCAGCCACACUGGAACUGAGACACGGUCCAGACUCCUACGGGAGGCAGCAGUGGGGAAUUUUGGACAAUGGACGCAAGUCUGAUCCAGCCAUUCCGCGUGCAGGACGAAGGCCUUCGGGUUGUAAACUGCUUUUGUACGGAACGAAAAAGCUCUUAUUAAUACUAGGAGUCCAUGACGGUACCGUAAGAAUAAGCACCGGCUAACUACGUGCCAGCAGCCGCGGUAAUACGUAGGGUGCAAGCGUUAAUCGGAAUUACUGGGCGUAAAGCGUGCGCAGGCGGUUAUAUAAGACAGAUGUGAAAUCCCCGAGCUUAACUUGGGAACUGCAUUUGUGACUGUAUAGCUAGAGUACGGCAGAGGGGGAUGGAAUUCCGCGUGUAGCAGUGAAAUGCGUAGAUAUGCGGAGGAACACCGAUGGCGAAGGCAAUCCCCUGGGCCUGUACUGACGCUCAUGCACGAAAGCGUGGGGAGCAAACAGGAUUAGAUACCCUGGUAGUCCACGCCCUANACGAUGUCAACUGGUUGUUGGGUCUUCACUGACUCAGUAACGAAGCUAACGCGUGAAGUUGACCGCCUGGGGAGUACGGCCGCAAGGUUGAAACUCCAAAGAAUUGACCGGGACCCCCACAAGCGGGGGAUGAUGUGGUUUAAAUCGAUGCACGCCGAAAACCUUACCCACCUUUGACAUG
rnacentral:rRNA from 1 species